UAAGAGCUUGCUCUUAUGAAGUUAGCGGCGGACGGGUGAGUAACACGUGGGUAACCUGCCCAUAAGACUGGGAUAACUCCGGGAAACCGGGGCUAAUACCGGAUAACAUUUUGAACUGCAUGGUUCGAAAUUGAAAGGCGGCUUCGGCUGUCACUUAUGGAUGGACCCGCGUCGCAUUAGCUAGUUGGUGAGGUAACGGCUCACCAAGGCAACGAUGCGUAGCCGACCUGAGAGGGUGAUCGGCCACACUGGGACUGAGACACGGCCCAGACUCCUACGGGAGGCAGCAGUAGGGAAUCUUCCGCAAUGGACGAAAGUCUGACGGAGCAACGCCGCGUGAGUGAUGAAGGCUUUCGGGUCGUAAAACUCUGUUGUUAGGGAAGAACAAGUGCUAGUUGAAUAAGCUGGCACCUUGACGGUACCUAACCAGAAAGCCACGGCUAACUACGUGCCAGCAGCCGCGGUAAUACGUAGGUGGCAAGCGUUAUCCGGAAUUAUUGGGCGUAAAGCGCGCGCAGGUGGUUUCUUAAGUCUGAUGUGAAAGCCCACGGCUCAACCGUGGAGGGUCAUUGGAAACUGGGAGACUUGAGUGCAGAAGAGGAAAGUGGAAUUCCAUGUGUAGCGGUGAAAUGCGUAGAGAUAUGGAGGAA
rnacentral:rRNA from 1 species